UUGACGAAUAUAUGAAUAUUCUAUAUUGCUUUCUCCAGUGGGAUCACCAGUGAAACCAAGGAUGUACCUGUUUCGAAUCUGAAUUCUAAGGGACUUUUCUCGGUUAAGUCAUACUAUAGACAUUUGACUAAUAGAAGAAGCGCAAAUAAUAAGUUCACACGGGAAUAAUUUGGAAGGUAAAGGCCACUCCUAGAGUGGCUUUCUUCAUAAGGAAAGCAGUGUGGGAAUGCAAUAAUUUUGAAUAAGUUAAUCAGGAGGGAAAAGAUCCUGGCAAAUGAGUGUUACUUGUGCAAAGACAUGUAAUCACAUCCUUCUUUAGUGUCCAUUUGCACACCAACUUUGGCCUUCGGCACACAACUAUAAUGGUUGAGUU
rnacentral:lncRNA from 1 species